rnacentral:ncRNA from 1 species
ACACGACUCUGGAGAGUCCCGUAUGGGCGCCGAAGGUGCAGGGUAUCUUGACGAUAUCUAAUCUCUCAGGCAAAAGGACAGAGAAU